AUGGACGAUCGUACUCUUGGCAAAGGCAGGAAGUGCGUCCCCUCGCCGUCGGCGGCGGCGGUGGCCAGGCGCGCCGUGCUUCUCCUGGCCGCCGUCGUGUUCGUGGGGUGGCUCAUGAUGUGGGCCAUGCUGCCGACCAGAACUUACAGCUCGACAUGGGCGCCGAAGCUUGCGGCGCUCACCGGCUUCGGGAAACAAGGGAUUAGGAUGACGGUGUACGCCUUCCCGGUGCUGUUCGUGUACGUUGUUGCGUGCGUUUACCUGCAUUUGCAGCAGCAGAAGGGGGGUGACCCUGACACCCAGCGCCGGACCAGUACGAGAAUAGCAGCAGCCUGGAGGAGACCCGUGCUGGUGAGAGGCCCGCUGGGGAUCGUGACGGGCAUAGAACUGGCCAUCCUUCUCAUGUUCAUGGCGCUCCUCGUCUGGUUCUACUACGCGUACAUCACCGUCGAGUUCUCCAAGCUACGCGUCAAGCCAGGCGAGAAACUGUGGCAGGCGGAGCUGGAGAAAGCGGCGAAGCGGCUCGGCAGUGUCGGGAGUUUGUGCUGCGCGCUGCUGUUCCUGCCCGUGGCACGCGGCUCGUCGCUCCUGCCGCUCGUCGGCCUCACGUCGGAGGCCGGCAUCAAGUACCAUGUCUGGCUGGGGAACACGGCCAUGGCCAUCUUCACCGCUCAUGGGCUCUGCUACGUCUUUUUCUGGGCAUCCACUGAUCAGAUCCACCUGAUGACGAAAUGGGCGAGGACGAGGGCCUCCAACGUCGCCGGGGAGCUGGCCUUGCUCUGCGGCCUCGCGAUGUGGGCGACGGCGCUGCCGCGCAUCCGCCGCCGGAUGUUCGAGCUCUUCUUCUACGCGCACCACCUCUACAUCCCCUUCAUCGUCUUCUCCGCGCUCCACAUGGGCGUAAUGGUGUUCUGCUACGUCCUGCCCGGCGUCUUCCUCUUCGCCGUCGACCGGUGCCUCCGCUUCCUGCAGUCGCGCGCCCGUGUCCGCCUCGUCUCUUCCCGCUUCCUGCCGUCCGGGGCCGUCGAGCUCAACUUCGCCAAAAGCCCCUGUUUGAGGCACAAUCCCACGAGCACGCUCUUCGUCAACGUCCCAUGCGUCUCGCGGCUCCAGUGGCACCCUUUCUCGGUGACGUCGAGCAGCAGCCUCGAGCCGGACACGCUCAGCGUCGUCAUCAAGAACAGAGGCGGGUGGACGCAGAAGCUGUACGAGACGGUCUCGUCUCUGCCCCCGUCCGGUGGCCACCUCGGCGUCUCGGUCGAGGGGCCGUACAGCCCGGCUGCCGGGGUCACGCCCUUCUUGGGCCACGACUCGCUGGUAAUGAUCAGCGGCGGCAUCGGCAUCACGCCGUUCAUCUCCAUCAUCCGCGAGCUGGUUUACCAGAGCGCCAUGGCAGAAACGGCGUCCAUGCCGAGGCUCCUCCUCGUCUGCGUCUUCAGGACGUCGGCCGAGCUCGACAUGCUGGACCUCCUCGUCCCGGCCUCCGGCGGCCUCAACGGCGCCCCCAGCCUCGACCUGCGCAUCGAGGCCUUCGUGACGAGCGAGAGCGAGCCCCGCACCGGCAACGACCCGCACAAGCGGCCUUGUCAACCGGUCUGGUUCAAGCCGUGGCCGUCGGACGCGCCCGUCUCCCCGGCGCUGGGAACCAACGGCUGGCUCUGGCUCGGCGCCGUCGUAUCCUCGUCGUUCGCCGCGUUCCUCCUGCUCGUCGCCGUGCUGCAGCGGUUCUACAUCUACCCGGUUGACCGAGACAGCAACCACGUGUACCCGUGGGCGGCCAGAACGAUGCUGAACCUGCUGUUCCUCGGCGUCAGCGUCGCCGCCGUCACCGGUGCGGCGUUCCUGUGGAGUAAGCGGGGGAGCGCCAGGGAGGCCAAGAAGAUAAAGAGCGUGGACGGGCCGAUGUCGCCGGUGUCGUUGCUCCACUGGGCUGGUGGAGGCGGCGUGGAGAGGGAGCUGGAGAGCAUGCCUGCGCAGCCUCUUGCGCAGGCAACCAAUGUGCACUUCGGUCACCGUCCCGAUCUCAAGAAGAUGCUGCUGGGGGUUCACGACGAAAACGUUGGGGUGAUGGCCAGCGGUCCGUCGGGGAUGCUUGAGGAGGUCGCGACUAUCUGCUCGUCUGGGCUGGCGAGCAACCUGCAUUUCCAGUCUAUAAGCUUCACCUGGUGA
rnacentral:rRNA from 1 species